rnacentral:rRNA from 1 species
UCAUAUGGUCGAUGGACUACCCUACAUACAACUGAGCUUGUUUGAUUUCAGAACCAAGCCAAGGUUGAGUCUUGUUAGUACUUCAAUGGGAAACCGUGAGGGAAUACCAGAUGCUGUUUUGG